UACGAAGGGGGCUAGCGUUGUUCGGAAUUACUGGGCGUAAAGCGCGCGCAGGCGGUCUUCCAAGUCAGUGGUGAAAGCCCGGAGCUCAACUCCGGAAUUGCCAUUGAAACUGUUAGACUUGAGGAUGAGAGAGGUGAGCGGAAUUCCCAGUGUAGAGGUGAAAUUCGUAGAUAUUGGGAAGAACACCGGUGGCGAAGGCGGCUCACUGGCUCAUUACUGACGCUGAUGCACGAAAGCUAGGGGAGCAAACAGG
rnacentral:rRNA from 1 species